GGCUGCUUCAAGCUCACCUCUCGCGAGGAGUUCGUCCUACUGUCUCUGAUUAGCCCUGAGGUCAGAGGUAUCCCAGGGCUCUGCGAGGAGCCCGGGUGCAGAGUUUUAGCAAUGAAAGAAGCCACACACACCCGCCCCAAACCGAAUCUUCCGGGGACCCUCAGUGGGCCGCGGGCAGCAGCUGCCGGGCUGAGGCUCCCGAAGUCCGCUGGUUGCCUGGUGAUCUCCCGGUGCUGUGCUCGAGAUCGCGAACUGCGGCAGCGAUGUUCACAUCGGAGGGAGGCUUUGUCUCCGGGUUGCGCGCCCCUCUCCUCUGUGUAGAGCAGAGCCUGGAGACCUGGAAAGUGGCCUCUUAACGCGUUUUCUGCCUCUCCCCACAAUCCUCCCACCCCGUUAAAUGUUGAUGUUUCCCCAGGGUUCCAUCCUCUGCCCACUUCUCACCCUAAACACCCUGCUGCUUGAACUCCAAAUGCCUUGAUUUCCUAAAUCUUGUAUUUCUUAUGUAAAUCUGUUCUGCCUUCGGUAUUAUCACCUGUGAAUUACUAUUCAGUUGCUUAACCGAAACCUUGGAGUCAUGUUAGAUUUCUUUCACACCCUCCACAUCCUUUUGAUGACCAGCUUGAUUUUAUAGAAUAAAUACUUAAAUUCAUCCCUUUUCAUCUCUCCUGUCACUGUUCUUGAUCAGGCUCUCAUGGUCUCUUACUCUUGCAGCAGCCUGUAACUGUCUCCUGGUUUGCUUCUCUCCAAUCUAUGCUCCACAGAAACGGACCCUCCCUUGCUCACAUCCUUCAGAAGCUACCCUCUCUACUGGAUAAAAUCCAAACUUCUUAUGGUGAGCCAUAAAGCCCUUUAGGAUCAGGUACCUCUGCUUAUUCACUGUCAUCUCCCUCCACUUGUCUUGAACUUUUUUCCAGCUUUAUAUUUUACACAGAGGGCAGAAUUUCUCCUGGCUUCCUUAAAUAGGCUAUUUCCCUUGGCCUGAAAUGCCUUUCCCAGACCUUUCCACCCUUAAGAUGUGGCCUAAGUGUUAUCUUUUCUAAAAUGCUUUCCUUACCCUCACUUCCUAGGCUCCCCAACUUAGGCACCUCUCUUGUUCCAAUGAAAACUUGCACUUACCUCUGUCUACAAUUAUGGACCAUAUUGUAAUGUCUGUGUACUUGUCUGUCUUCCUCAUCAGAACUGAGAUCCUGCUGAGGAUAAGGACUGUGUCUUACUUAGCAUUGUAACCCCGCCAGCUCGCAGUGUCUGACAUAAAUUAAGUAUCCAGAAAAUGGUUAAAUCAACCAGUCCUAGAAGCCAUGUGUCUAAAAUGGUUUCAGAGCCUUAUCCCUGUACCAGAAUACUCAAGUAAUAGUUCAUUAGCAUUUCCAGGCAUUGAGACAGGCGGCAGUUUCCUCUGGCUUGCUGUGCAAUAGAUAUCAGAAGGUGAUACUGUUGGUGAACUGAAAAAGCAUAUUUUCACUUAAGAGUUCACUGAAAUCCUUUCUUUGUCAAUUGAUUGAACAGAUAUUGACUGAACACUUGCUGUGUUCUAUGCACAGUAAUACAUUAGUGAGCAAGACAAAGAUUUCUGCCCUCAUGGAGCUAAUAUUCAAAUGAGGGUUGGAGGAGGCAGACCGAGAACCUGUGUGACCACAUGUUAUAAGGUGAAAAGUGCCACAUGGGGUGAGGGGGUUGCAAUUUUAAAUACAACGGACAGUGUAAAGAACAGGCCCAGUGGAACCAUUGCCUCCAUGACAGCCAACCAAGACUUCAUGCAGUUUCAGCCUCUCAGGAAUGUGACCUUUAACCAGUGAAUAUGGAAUUAGUGAGGUCAUCUGCACGUUAGACCCCAGCCCUUCCCCCAGAGGAAGGUGACCUUGCCUGAAACAAUCCACUCUAUUAGAAACUUCCUCUUUCCUCCCCCUGCAUGUAAAAGCCUGCCAGUUUGUACAGCUCCUGGAGCUCCUUUCUAUUUGCUAGAUGGGAUGCUGCCUGAUUCGGGAAUCAUGAAGAAAGCCAAUUUGAUCUUUAAUUUACUCAGUUGAAUUUUGUGAUUUAACAACAGGCUAGGCCUAAUAGAGAAAGUGACUACUGAGCAAAGAUUUGGAGUUGGUGAGUUAGUUCUGAGGAUAUCUGGGGGAGAACCUUGCAGGCAGAGGGAAUGGCUGAGGCAGAACUCCUGAGGCUCAGUGUCCCUGGCCUGUUCAAAGAACAGCAAAGAGGCAGUGUGGCUGGAGCAGAGUGAGCUCGAGGGGACAAAUAUGAGAUAAGGUCAGAGGAAACGGGACAAGGUCACGUAGGGCCUUGUAGGCUAGCGUAAGGAUUUUGACUUGUACUAAGUGAAAUGGAGAGCAGGCUCUUAAGCAGAGAAGUGAGACAGUCUUUUAAAAUGAUCACUGCUGUUGAGUAUAGAUAGGAGGGCAGCUUAGAGGCAGGGAGACUGGUAGGAAGGCUUCUGUGGUAACGUAGGUGAGAGAUUGUUACCGAACCAAAAGUGGGUUGGCCUCCUGGCGAAUUACAGUCAGACUCUCAACCAAAAGUAGUUGUCACACAAAGUAGGACUUCUUUGCAGCAAAUAGGAGGCCACGCGGAAUCAUUUCCAAAGUCGUGGCUGUCCCCUAACAAAGGGAAGCCGGGGCCUUUUAUGUCGGAUGGGAAAUGAAUAUUCAAAAGGGAGAGGUGGGCAUUCGCUUGCGCAGGCUCAGUUGGAAAAGGUGCUUCCACAUACACUGCAGGUUAUGGUAAUAAGGCCUAAGCUCCUGCUGGAGAGGAGAUCUUAGCAUUAAAAAUGAGGCAAAGGUCAUAGGCCUGCUGUUGUGGGGCUCAGUCUGGUUCAGAGUGCUGGUGAUUGCAUCUCUUAAACAGUUAAAUGCUUCCAAACCCACCCUGGAGUUCCUAGGGGCAAUUAGUCAGUGACAAGAUGAUGGCGGCUUAUACCUGGGAGGUAACAGUGAAGGAGUAAGAAGUGACUUUUCCUCAUCUCCUCUCCCUUCCUUUUUUUCCUUUCGUUUUUUUAUUAACCUUUAUUUAUUGACCACCUAUUAUAGUGGCAGGCGUCAUGCCAGGACUAAAAUAGUCCCUAUCUUUCUUCAUAGAGCUUAUAUUCUAGUGAUGGGAAGACAGACAACAAAAAUAUAAAUAAAAUAACAUUGUGUUAAGAUGCCAAGAAUACAUUAGCGUGCUGUAAGGGUGAAUACAGGGUGGAGGAGAGGGUCACAACCUGCUUCAGCUCAGGCAGUUAGACAGUCUGUCUGAGGAGGGAACAUUUAACCUGAGAACCAAAGAAGGAAAAACUAGUAAUGUGAAGAAUGAAGGUGGGGAGGCUGGGGAGAGCAUUCCUGGCACAGGCAGUAAAGAUGUGAUAUUUUCUAGGAACUGAAUGGAGGCUGUGGUGGUAGAGCCCAAUGAGCCAGGGGCAGAAGGGCAUGAAGUGAGGGUGAAGGAGGGAAGUUGUUGGUUUGGGUUUUAAGUGCAGCGGGAAGCCACUGACCAUUUUAGGCAGGGCAGCAACAUGAUCUAAUAAUAAACAUUCGUAAAAGGUGAUUCUGGCUAUUAUAUUAUCUUAGAGGGGCAACCGUGCAAAUGAGCAGACCAAUUAAGAAGCUGUUGCAGGCACACAGGAGAUGUUGGUAGCUUGGACUAAGGUGGUGGCAGCAGAUAUAUAUGUGGGAGGUAGAAACACCAGGGCUUGCUGAUAGAUGGAUAUGAGAAUGGGAAAGAGAGCCAUCAAGAUAUCAAGGGUGACUUGAGCUUGAGUAUUUAGAUGGAUGGAUGGUGGUGCCUUUUACUGAGAUGUAGAUGGCCUUUAAAAAAGAAGGGAGUUGGGGCUGGCCUGGUGGCACAGCCGUUAAGUUUGUGCACUCUGCUUCAGCAGCGUGGGAUUCAUGGGUUCGGAUCCUGGGCACAGACCUUCACACCACUUAUCAAGCCAUGCUCUGGUGGCAUCCCACAUAUAAAGUAGAGGAAGAUGGGCACGGAUGUUAGCCCAGGGCCAACCUUCCUCAGCAAAAAGAGGAGGAUUGGCAACAGAUGUUAGUUCAGGGCUAAUCUUCCUCACCAAAAAAAAAGCAGGGAGUGGGGGGAGCUACAUCUCCAACAAAAAGAGGACUUGGAACCGGGGGAGGAUUUAAGAAGCUGGGUCAUCUACUGUGGGGUUGUAGGACUGGGGAAUGUCAGACGAGAGAGAAAGUAUAAACUAGUUCUCAGAGCUUGGGAAUGAAGCUACUAGAGAAGCAUGCGAAGAUCACCAGCCAGUGCACAGGGCCCUGUUGAGGACUGUGAUCGCUAACUUAGAAUGAGACCAAUCCAUUUAGUUAUCUGGUUGGAUUUCCCUCAGCCAAGUUCACUUCUUCACUCCCCUUUCUUCUGCUUUCUCUCUUCUAGCUAUCCAUAAUUUUGAAAUGAAAUAUACAUUUUUAUUAUUUGUUGAAUAUAAUCUUAAUGUUUCCUUACUUCAAAAUGGUAAAUUUAUUGGUAAAGUGAAUUGCAUACAAUUAAAAAAUAUAUAUUAAACUGAA